UUCUGAUCUAGAUCAUUUGAUAUCUGCUACCCGGAGCCCACUUAAAUCAGGAGGUCUACAACUAGAGCCAACUGCCUAUGCGAGUGGACAAAGAACUACAUCUACAUUUAAGGAUUAAUCAGGCCCAGCUGCAGCUCUGAGAGUCCCUAAUGGCUCGGACGGACGCUAAUGGGUUUAUGGGACCGGGGGAACAACCCAGAUCUGUGCAGCGUGACCAGACUUACAAGCCACCAUGGCUUGAACUACUCUGCUCCACCACGCCCUCCAGCUAUGCUGAAUCAAAUCUUCAGAAACCAUGAGCUCUGUGUAGCGUUUCCUCCUUUAUGUGAUUCUCGAAGGUAUCUGUCUCGCUAACACAGAGCAAAGGAAGAGUGCUGGAGUCAGAGGAGAUACUUGAAAGAGAAAAGCAGUUUCAUCACAGAGGAGGACGCCUAGAGUGGGCUGCGCCUGUCUGCCGGAGCGUCUUUUCUUCCUCCUGUCCUCUGGGACAACCUAAGGAAGAUGGUCGCUCUGCUGUACCUCUGACCACUGACAGGCUUUGAAAGACUUUUCCUGGCCAGGGGCUGCUAGCUCUCUACACCUCAGGAAACCAUUCAAGAUAUCUUUCCCAGGGGAUGGAGAGAUGGCUCAAUGCUGAACAGAGAGCUUGUUCUGCCUUCAAGAGAACCCCAGUUCAGGUCCCAGCUCCCACAAGAGUCACAACUGCCUAUGACUCCACCAGUCCUCCAAGGCAUUCCUUGCCCACCCCCCCCACCCCCGCAUAUACUUACAUAGACAUAUGCACACAAAUAAAAAUAAAUCUUUAAAAUAAUAAAAAAG